UCGCCGGUGGUGUAAGGCGAACAUCGCUGCCCGGAAAGCAGAAGAUGCGGGUUCGAAUACCGCCUGGCGCA
rnacentral:tRNA from 1 species